rnacentral:rRNA from 1 species
AGUGAACGCUGGCGGUAGGCCUAACACAUGCAAGUCGAACGGCAGCACAGUAAGAGCUUGCUCUUACGGGUGGCGAGUGGCGGACGGGCGAGGAAUACAUCGGAAUCUACUUUUUCGUGGGGGAUAACGUAGGGAAACUUACGCUAAUACCGCAUACGACCUACGGGUGAAAGCAGGGGAUCUUCGGACCUUGCGCGAUUGAAUGAGCCGAUGUCGGAUUAGCUAGUUGGCGGGGUAAAGGCCCACCAAGGCGACGAUCCGUAGCUGGUCUGAGAGGAUGAUCAGCCACACUGGAACUGAGACACGGUCCAGACUCCUACGGGAGGCAGCAGUGGGGAAUAUUGGACAAAGGGCGCAAGCCUGAUCCAGCCAUACCGCGUGGGUGAAGAAGGCCUUCGGGUUGUAAAGCCCUUUUGUUGGGAAAGAAAAGUAGCAGGUUAAUACCCCGCUGUUCUGACGGUACCCAAAGAAUAAGCACCGGCUAACUUCGUG